rnacentral:lncRNA from 1 species
UAAGUGGAUUUUAUAUCCACUUUGAAGCCUUCGUUUUGACUUAAAUGGAUGAUCUGGCCUCAAGCUUUUGAUGUUUUUGAUAUGUUUUAGUGUGAUGUUGUGUAGGUUUCUUUGGAGGAGGACGAAGAGGAGAUUCAUAUCUUUCAUUGAAAAAAAACGGUGAAGCAAUCGGAUGCGCGAGUCAAAAGUUAUGGACAAAGAAGUGGGCUGCUGAAUUGGGGCACCCGCCCCAAAUCUGGCGCACCUGCCCCAAAUCUGGCGCACCCGCACCAAACCGGCAGCGAAUUUAGGCCCGUUUUGCCCGUUUCUGAUCCGUUUCGAGGCCCGAUCGCUGGGGAAGUUUAAGAAAGGCUUGGGGGACUAAACACAUAACCUAGAAAACAUUCUAAGGAGCACGUGACGGCUACGGAGAAGAUCAAGAUCGAAAAUCAUAACUUUUUACUUUUGCAAUUCUUUGAAGUAGGCGUAACUUUGGAUGCUCGUUCCGGAUUUUUUUCUUAACUCUUAUUCUCGUACUUUGACUUUGUUUUUUAUAUUCAGUACCAUGUUUACAUUCGAACCCAUGAUGAUGAGAAGUUCGAUUAUGAACUAAUCAUUGUCAUGGGAUUUUAGCGGAUUUAUCGAUGAAUUUCAGUAGUUAAUUUGUCUUGUUCAUAUGUGAUGGA